GGGGUGGUUGGAGGUGUUAAAAAACAACUUAGAGUUAUUGUUAAAUUGAUACAAAUGACUUGAGGAUUUUAAAAGCAUUUUUAUUCAUUAUAUCUUUUUUAACCACCUUUUAAAAAUGUUUUUAUCUAAAGCUUUUCAUAUUCUCUGAUGUUGGGAAGACUGAAGAACUCUGUAAGCUAAACUAGAAUUGUUGUAAGCUUCCGAUGACUUUGAAUUCUUCAGUCCUCAUUCUGUUCACUAAAUACAAAUCAGAAUACUUGGCCACAUGUGAUCUUUCAAGGUGUUAUUAUCUAGCUUUGAGAUACUUAGAAGAGAGAUAUUCCCCCCCCACCCCCCCCCCCUCAGUUCCAGUUUAACAAGCUGCCUCCCCAUAAGCUCUAAAAUAAGUAAUUUAUUCAAAAUCACUUAAUCGCCAGCAGAUGUUUUGUUGAGGGGAGAGGAUAACAGACACUGUGCUCUGUGCAGCAAUCUGUCAUGUUUGUUGUAAUGCAUAAGUACAAAGUUAAAAGAUCAGAAGUUUCUGUGUGUAACCACAUUCCUUAUUGCUGUUUGGUUUAUUACAGUAAUGCUGCAAGAAGGAAUUGGCACUCAUCUAGCAUGGAGCUAUGUCAUACUGAUACUGCUUCAUAGCAUCAAUUCAAGUUUUACAUCACCAACUCAUCAUGCUUUGGAAAAAAAUGAAGUGGCAGCCAGCAAAUUUAUCACGAAACUGAAAGAUGCAUCUGAAGCUCUUUUAAACUUCUUCAGGCCAGUGACUUGCCGAUACAAAGAAAAGCACUCCUUAGUCCCUUGUCAUGUAGGAGGGAGCAUUAAUGCAACAGAAUGCUUGGAAAAUAGAUGUUGUCCUUCCAAAGGCAACCAUGAACUGAAAUGUUAUAUCCCAUUUAAAGACGAUCUGCAACUGACGUUUCGACUGUUUUUGCUUGGGGCGGUAGGAUUUUUAAUUUUGGGUUGUCUACCAUUAUGUUGCUGUGCCUGCUUGCAGAGGAGUGUCUUCUUUUCACUAACAGCCACAAGCCAUGAUGGGCAGAGUAAGACUCUAAAGAAUAGCAGAACAGAGGUGCACUUACUGAUGCUAUAUUUGAACAAUGUUGUGUAGACUUUAAAUAAAAAUUACUAAAAUCUCAGUUUCCUUCUGUUAAAUUUUUAGUGCAGUUGUGGGAAACAGUCCUUCAAUUUCAGUUGACUAAUUACUGGGAAUUUUCUGGUAAUGGCUGUAAUUUGAUGAAUCAACUGGUCAACUGAAAUUCAUGAUGAAAAGAUAAGAGAUGGGAAAACUUAUAAAAGUGCUUUGUCAGUCUGUGUUCUGUUGAUGAAAUCUUAUGGCCCCUGAAAUCAGUGGUAUCUUUUUUUACUCUGGAGCUAGACUUUUGCAGCUAAAACCUAGGUGAUCUCGUCUUAAUUCCUUCUGUUGUUUUAAUAUGUUGCAGUCAAUGUGCUAAUCCUUUGCGAAGAGCAAACAAAAAAAUAGAACAAAUUGUGCAGAACAAGAGAGCAAGUAGUGAAGAAAUGCAUAGCUUGUUACCGAAUUGACUUAAAGACUUUGAGGAUCAUAAAUAUAAGAGAAAGAGGACCAUUCGUGUAAUAUUAAUGCACUCAAGCAGAAGAAAGACACCGGGAUUAUGUGCUAACCAUGAGUAUGCUCUAGAAAAUGAGAUGAUUUGUUUUAGCAUCAAAAUAAUACAGUGUUGUCAACCCUUGAUAAUGCUAUUGAUUCUGCAUUAGAAGUUGUUCAUUUCUGUUUCUUUGUACUCAUUCCAUAUCUCCUUUAUGGAAAAAAAAUGUUAAUGCUGAAAGGGAAAAACUACUAAUUCCAGCUCCUGAAUGCUAAAGCCAUUCUAGGUACUAGUAAAGCAUCUUCACAAUUCAGAGGUCAGCCUUAGAGUACUAUCUGGAUUAAGAAGAAAUAGAAGAGAUAUUUGAUGUUUAUUAAAUUGGUGCUGAGUGGCAAGCUUACUGUUUUUGGGCAGUGAAUGCCACUGUAGCACAGCAGUGCUAUUCCUAUUGAGACCACAAUUAAUUAUUUACCUGGCUGCAGAGGAUUUAGGAAAUGUAUUGUUGGGCAGCUCCUUUAAAGACAUGCUUAGGCAAAGAACUUCAGGAAACUGGUAGCAUUUCCUCUACCAUUGUUUCUGUUCGUUCUGUAUCACUGCACCACAAAACUUCCUUAGGUCUUUAGGAGACCAGUCUCCCAAGGCAAGUGAUGCCAAGAUGUAAUUUCUUUCAGUCUCCCUGAAGAGUAACACAGAAUAAGAAGUGAACAUGUAAUAGUUUUGAACAGCAGAGUACAAAGUAAAAAUAAAUGCUUAAAAAAAAAAAAAAAAAGGCAGUA